AUGAAUUGCCUCAGCUGGAACUGCCGCUGGCUUGGGAACCCAGCGGCAGUUCGAGAGCUUCGCAACAUCGUGAAGCAGGAAGGGCCCGGUCUCCUCUUUCUGAUGGAGACGAAAAUUUUGGCAAAACGAGUUGAAAACUUGAAAACCACACUCGGUUUUGCAGGCUGUUUUGCUGUAAACAGUGAGGGAUUGAGUGGAGGAGUUGCACUAUUCUGGUUAGCCGACGUCAAGGUUGAGCUCAAGAAUUAUAGUUCUGGCCAUAUUGAUGUUAUGGUGCAGACAAGUGACCCGGAUUCGAGCCCGUGGCGAUUCACGGGAUUCUACGGAGCCCCUAGAGCAACAGAUCGACACCAUAGCUGGAGAUUUCUGCGUACGCUAAAAGCACUGCCACACGCGCCUUGGCUGUGUGUGGGCGACUUUAAUGAGACACUCUUUGCCUCGGAACACUUCUCGCGAGCUGUUCGUCCGGAGUGGCAGAUGCGAGCAUUCCGAGAGGCUAGUGAUGAUUGCUUGUUCCAGGAUCUGGGAUGGACUAGGGCAGAGUACACAUGGGAUGAUGGUCAACCGGGUGUGAUAAUGUGA
rnacentral:rRNA from 1 species